rnacentral:rRNA from 1 species
GGGGAAUUUUCCGCAAUGGGCGAAAGCCUGACGGAGCAAUACCGCGUGAGGGAGGAAGGCUCUUGGGUUGUAAACCUCUUUUCUCAGGGAAUAAGCAAGUGAAGGUACCUGAGGAAUCAGCAUCGGCUAACUCCGUGCCAGCAGCCGCGGUAAUACGGAGGAUGCAAGCGUUAUCCGGAAUGAUUGGGCGUAAAGCGUCCGUAGGUAGCAGUGUGUGUCUAUUGUUAAAGAGUUUGGCUUAACCAAAUAAAGGCGGUAGAAACUACACAGCUAGAGUGCGUUCGGGGCAGAGGGAAUUCCUGGUGUAGCGGUGAAAUGCGUAGAGAUCAGGGAGAACACCGGUGGCGAAAGCGCUCUGCUAGGCCGCAACUGACACUGAGGGACGAAAGCUAGGGGAGCGAAUGGGAUUAGAUACCCCAGUAGUCCUAGCCGUAAACGAUGGAUACUAGGCGUUGAGAGUAUCGACCCUCUCAGUGCCGUAGCUAACGCGUUAAGUAUCCCGCCUGGGGAGUACGCACGCAAGUGUGAAACUCAAAGGAAUUGACGGGGGCCCGCACAAGCGGUGGAGUAUGUGGUUUAAUUCGAUGCAACGCGAAGAACCUUACCAGGGCUUGACAUGUCUGGAAUCUUGGGGAAACUCAAGAGUGCCUUCGGGAGCCAGAACACAGGUGGUGCAUGGCUGUCGUCAGCUCGUGUCGUGAGAUGUUGGGUUAAGUCCCGCAACGAGCGCAACCCUCGUACUUAGUUGCCAGCACUUCGGGUGGGCACUCUAAGGAGACUGCCGGUGACAAACCGGAGGAAGGUGGGGAUGACGUCAAGUCAGCAUGCCCCUUACGUCCUGGGCUACACACGUACUACAAUGCUACGGACAAAGGGCAGCGAGACUGCGAAGUUAAGCAAAUCUCAGAAACCGUAGCUCAGUUCAGAUCGCAGGCUGCAACUCGCCUGCGUGAAGGAGGAAUCGCUAGUAAUUGCAGGUCAGCAUACUGCAGUGAAUUCGUUCCCGGGCCUUGUACACACCGCCCGUCACACCAUGGAAGCUGGUCACGCCCGAAGUCGUUACCCUAACCAUUAUUUGGAGGGGGACGCCGAAGGUAGGACUGGUGACUGGGGUGAAGUCGUAACAAGGUAGCCGUACCGGAAGGUGUGGCUGGAUCACCUCCU